rnacentral:lncRNA from 12 species
GUGAAUAUCUUGGUUCUCAGUGAGGUUACUACCAAAUCUGUCUCUAUGAAACUGCGGCGCAAGACAGUCCUGAGAAGCAGAAGGCUUCAACAGCAAGAGCAUGUGAAGGACUCUGUGGUGCUGAGUGACACUGACUCUAGUGUGGAGGAUAUAAAAGACAAUGUGUCUGUUAUUCGUGAUAUGAAGCGGCCAGUAAGGAAGAGUAGAGCUGGUGCAUCAUGUCGAGCGAGAAAAGAAUAUGAGAGACAGCUUUCUGAUGUGGAACCACAGCAUGGAGCGGUUCAGAAGAUCUCCCUGGCUCCAGAUGCUAUCGCUGAGGACACUCUAGGGAAACUCAGGCUGAGGGCUAACACCUCUGAGACCAAGACUGAGGUUGAGUCUCGAGGAGAGCUUGAGUCUGUUUUGGAAGAAUCCAGUACCGAUCUCACGGUGGAAUCGGGUCCCAGCUCGCCCUUUUGUCAUGUUUAUACUGUAAGAUGCAGAGAAUGCCAGAGACUUUUCGCCAAGAUGAGAAAACAGCCGACCCCAAAACAGAAAAGCAAAGAUACAAAUCCAGCAUCUUUAUCUUGUGAUGUGUGGGUACUGCUUAAGAAGUGGCACCCUCAGAGACGCCACCAUCGGGAGAAGGGAAAUUUGCGUCGCUGCAAGGAUCUGCUCUCCAUUCAGACCAACCUGUCCAUUAACAAAGCCAAACCACGGCAUCGUAAGAGGUCACGAUCUGUGGUCUGGCCGCCCAUCGCUGGCUGGCAGUCUUCUGUGAAAAGGAAGCCUUCCUUGAACAGCACAUUAUCUCAGCAGCUUUAUCCACUCGACCUUAGUGUGAAGCAGAAGGACAAACUUCUUGUAGAUGACAAGAUUUCAAGAUUAAAUGCAGAUUUGAAGCAGAACUCAGAGGUCUCUAGCAAACAGAGGACGACUUAUGUCCGGGGUAAAUCGAACAAGCAGGAAGUGUCUGAUGGCAUAGACGGAACGCGGCGGGUGCUGAAGUUUGAUGACACCACUAAAACUGUUGCUGUGGAAACAGCGGAACAGAGGAAAAGCCCUCGGCAGAAGCACAAACGUGGAGAGAUUCGUGAAGCUCAGAAUGGUUUCCAGAAUGAGCAGCAGGAAGAGAUUUCUGAGGAUUUGGAUGGGUUCAGGACACCCACAGAUCUGUUCAGCGUGAAGCCCAAGAUUAAACGAGGGAACCAGAAGAAAGUGUCUGCGUCUGGUGUUACAAAACCUGCCGUACAGAAGCCCAACUUCAUGUCAAUGUUAUCCACACUGGUGAAGAAUCAGAACCAGAUUAUUAAGGAAUCCUGCAAAUGA